AGUGCUGUACCCCGACCACAUUUUACAUAGAGUAGCAACGUAGCAAAAUAUAUGGCCCGGUUUGUCAUAUAAAUAAAAGACAACAUAUGUUACGCAAAGUAUUAUUGUCCUGAACGCUGCCUGCCAUUUUAAAGAUCCAAUAUAAACCACAGAAGGCCUCUUUAAUGGGCAUGUGUCAAUCAAAAUCGGGUCAUAGUUUCUUCACUCUCGAAACUGGAGAAAAAGGAACGAACCCCAGCGGUUAACGUAAAGUCGUAAAGUUACACAUUGUUUAGUUUCGUAGUUAAUAAAGCGUGAAAACGUUUUAAAAUAUUUUGUCCGAGAGACGCUUUGUUUUUUAACAGUUUUACCACAGUUAUUGGCAAAUAAAAUGUUUUAUUUCAUAACAACGUAUGAAUGGAUUGCAUAUUAGUAAAAUUAUCCCGGCAAAUAAUCAUUUUUUUGAAAAUGAAAAACUGGUUCUUAUCUAACCAUGUUAUGGAGAAUGGUUCAGCUGAUGACGUGCGUCAGCUUCAUUUUGACGAUGGAGCUUUUGCAUGCCGUGUUUGACAAAGGGUCAUAUUUUCUAAUGUGGUUUGUCAACUUUUCCUUACAAUUCGUGAGAGAACUUGCAGACGACCUGCUGUCUCUCCGCGUAGCAACGAACCGGAAGUCAAAAUGCGAUGUAAAAGUUCACUCAAGGAGAAUUGCACAAUAAAAGCAUCAUUUACACUAGCAGUGUUUUAAUCGUGUUACGUUUAAUAAAUGAGGACAAAUAUUAAAACAUGAUAUAUAUAAAA